GAUGAAGAACGUAGCGAAAUGCGAUACGUAGUGUGAAUUGCAGAAUUCAGUGAAUCAUCGAAUCUUUGAACGCACAUUGCACCUCUCGGUAUCCCGGGAGGUAUGCCUGUUCGAGCGUCAUUUGUACCCUCAAGCUCUGCUUGGUGUUGGGUGUUUGUUCCGCCUCUGUGUGUGAACUCGCCUCAAAACAAUUGGCAGCCGGCGUACUUGUUUCGGAGCGCAGCACAUUUUGCGAUCCAGAUCAACGUACAGCGGCAUCCAAGAAGCCUUAUUUAACGCUCUUGACCUCGGAUCAGGUAGGGAUACCCGCUGAACUUAAGCAUAUCAAUAAGCGGAGGA
rnacentral:misc_RNA from 1 species